rnacentral:rRNA from 1 species
UACGAAGGGGGCUAGCGUUGUUCGGAGUUACUGGGCGUAAAGGGCGCGUAGGCGGCCACCGCAAGUCGACUGUGAAAUCUCCGGGCUUAACCCGGAAAGGUCAGCCGAUACUGCGGGGCUAGAGUGCAGAAGGGGCAACUGGAAUUCUCGGUGUAGCGGUGAAAUGCGUAGAUAUCGAGAGGAACACCUGCGGCGAAGGCGGGUUGCUGGGCUGACACUGACGCUGAUGCGCGAAAGCUAGGGGAGCGAACGGG